rnacentral:lncRNA from 1 species
AGGAGCAGCAGCGGGGAGUCACACGGGCUGGAGUCAGCAGCCUGUCCUCACUUGGGCCACAUCCCACCGGCCAGAGGCCAGAAUGCAGCAGCCUUGUCUCCAAGGCCCUAAGUCAACUUUAUGUUCUUCCCUCCAGAGGCAGAUGAAGCCACUUCAGGAAGGGCCUGCUGGUGGGAGAUGAUCAACAUGAGAAAAAAUAGGCAGAGAAAAACGCAGGCUUCCACAGGGCCAUGCGUGAUGACCAACACACACUUCCUUGGCCUCCCCUCCACUAAGGAGCUGAAAACCAAAUCAGCCCGGCCCACGAGUCCCUGUUCAUCCCGUGGUAGAGUGGUCACUUACAGAACCAAACGUGUUCUAUACAGCAGGGUGCCACGCGAUGCUGGCAGCACCUCGGAUAGACUUCACCCCUCAGGCUUAUGUUCACACAAUGACACAGUCACCUCAUGACGCAUUUCCUGUUGCCAAGCAAUACACAACUAGAUGAGUGUUUGUGCAUCCAACUGAACUGCUGGCCAUGCCACCCCUGGAGGGGUAAGCCCGCCCUCAGGAACUACACACUCAAGUGCCCUGGGGCAGCAGGGUAUACCCUUCUAGCUCCUCGAAGUGCCCACUGAGGCAAGUUCCCCAUGGUGUCUGCUCUCAGCUCUGGAACCUGCAUCGUCCCGGUGGGGACAUGGGCCAGGACUCACCGGGACUACCUGACAGGAUUCCCACCGGUGCAGGGAGGGUGUGGGUGAGCCUUGGGGCUGC